rnacentral:rRNA from 1 species
GGAAGCACGAAUAAGGACCAGGAUUGGGUUUUUGAAGGUGGAUUUGUAAGUAAUUAUUUUUAUAGAAUUAAUAAGUGAAGGGUGGAAUAACAUGUGUACAUAUUGCCCGUCGCUCUCGCUAUUUUUGAGAUAAGUCGUAACAUAGUUGAUGAACUGGAAAGUGUAUCUUUUUGA